AUUGAACGCUUGCGGCAGGCCUAACACCUGCAAGUCGAACGAGUGGCGGACGGGUGAGUAAUGUCUGGGAAACUGCCUGAUGGAGGGGGAUAACUACUGGAAACGGUAGCUAAUACCGCAUACCCUCAGAUGUGCCCCGCUGGGAUUAGCUUGUUGGUGGGUUAACGGCUAACCAAGGCGACGAGCCCUAGCUGGUCUGAGAGGAUGACCAGCCAGACGGGAACUGAGACACGGUCUAGACUCCUACGGGAGGCAGCAGUGGGGAAUAUUGCACAAUGGUCGAACGCCUGAUGCAGCCAUGCCGCGUGUAUGAAGAAGGCCUUCGGGUUGUAAAGUACUUUCAGCGGGGAGGCGUUACCCGCAGAAGAAGCACCGGCUAACUCCGUGCCAGCAGCCGCGGUAAUUC
rnacentral:rRNA from 1 species